UGAAGAACUGAAGAUCGUAAUUUCGCAAUACGUAAUACAACAAAAAAGGCAACCUCAAAAAGUCACUCUGUGUCACUCUCUUUGCAAAGCGCAGAGAGAGAGAGAGAGAGAGAGAGAGACGUACGGUGGUCGUAAAGUUAUAACUUGUUUCUACCUCUGAUAAUGGAAAAAGAGUAUCUUUGAAAGGAAGUUCUGAAGUGGCAGACAUGGUAUUGUUGUAAUGUCUAUGAAAAUGAGGGAAAAUCAACAGUUUUGAGUGCAAGUUGCCAGAGUAUCGUCCAGGUACUUUGUUGGGUUCCUAGAGCAGCAGAAAAAAAAAAGAAAAAGCAUUUUCUUGUGCUGUGGAUAUUCCCAUUAUUUGGUUCUUUGAGCUUAUGAAGAACUUGACAUGCUGACCUAAUUAUUCUCUUCACUCCAAUGGAAGAUUUUCAUGCUGACUAUU